rnacentral:rRNA from 1 species
AGCGAACGCUGGCGGCAGGCCUAACACAUGCAAGUCGAGCGCCCCGCAAGGGGAGCGGCAGACGGGAGAGUAACACGUGGGAACAUGCCCUUCAGUUCGGAACAACCAAGGGAAACUUUGGCUAAUACCGGAUACGCCCGCAAGGGGAAAGAUUUAUCGCUGAAGGAUUGGCCCGCGUCUGAUUAGCUAGUUGGUGGGGUAAUGGCCCACCAAGGCGACGAUCAGUAGCUGGUCUGAGAGGAUGAUCAGCCUCACUGGGACUGAGACACGGCCCAGACUCCUACGGGAGGCAGCAGUGGGGAAUAUUGGACAAUGGGCGCAAGCCUGAUCCAGCCAUGCCGCGUGAGUGAUGAAGGCCUUAGGGUUGUAAAGCUCUUUCGUCAGGGAAGAUAAUGACGGUACCUGAAGAAGAAGCCCCGGCUAACUUCGUGCCAGCAGCCGCAGUAAGAC